CCCUCGGUGGUCUAGGGGUUUAUGAUUCAUCGCGCACGCCAGUGCGAACGAUAAGGUCGGGGGUUCGAAUCCCUCCCAUGGGG